UACAGAGGUCUCAAGCGUUGUUCGGAUUCAUUGGGCGUAAAGAGCGUGUAGGCGGUCCGGUAAGUCCGCUGUGAAAGUCGGGGGCUCAACCCUCGAAUGCCGGUGGAUACUGUCGGGCUAGAGUGCGGAAGAGGCGAGUGGAAUUCCUGGUGUAGCGGUGAAAUGCGCAGAUAUCAGGAGGAACACCAAUGGCGAAGGCAGCUCGCUGGGACGGUACUGACGCUGAGGCGCGAAAGCGUGGGGAGCAAACAGG
rnacentral:rRNA from 1 species